rfam:Pseudomonas putida KT2440 complete genome.
CGUUAUGGCAGUUGUGCGCGUGAGGCCGUUUGGCCUACCGGCUUGCCUUCUCACCGGUUUUCCACCCCGCGCACAACUGCCGCCUUC